UUGGCACGUUGAAGGUAUUCACUAGACAUGAGCUCUCAUCAGUAUGUAGCAGAAGAAAAAGGAAAGCUUUUCUUUCUAACAGAAAACCACAGCCUGCUUAGAAGCAAUCCCCAUAAUUGACCGUGGCAAAAGCUGUGAAGUAUCUAGAAGAUACUCUGCCCUGGAGAAAGAAGCACACGGUUUUCUCGACUGGGCUCUGUCCUGUGGAGCCAUCAGAGAAACACUCGGGAGGACAGCAAACAAGAUGCCAGCUCCCAGCCUCAGAUGACCCCAAGAGAAGAAUGAUGGGCCAGAAUGAGCACACCCAAGUUGAACAGAGAUUAAGUGUUUUGGUUUUGGUUCAAAGAGUCAAUUCCGGCUCCUGGAUUCAGAGAACUAAAACAGGAUGUGACUGAAACUGAGGCAGCGUACUUCCCCACCCCCAUACCACGCCAACGGGCACACUCAUCGUGCUGCAAGAGAUAACAAUCAGACUUUGGGUUUGUGGGAGAGCAAACCCUGCCACGUCUGCUCCCAGCUGAGAUACAGCUUAGUGAAUGUGGAGACUCGCCUCCAGGCUGCCUUUGGCCUUGAAAAGUAUGGAAGGAAAAUCCUCCUCUGUGACGGCGGUGAAUACAUGACUUUGACUUUAUUCCCCAUUUGUCACACUUCAGCCAUUUCUGUGCACAGCCAAGUGUGCAGGCUGCCCUUCUCCAAGGCUUACGGCACAGGGGGAAGUAACCUGGGUAGGUAGCUCGAAGGUCGUGAACACCCAGAACUGAGCUGUACCAAGACAUGGAAGGAGUUGGCAAGGUAUGAUAUGGCUGCUGCCUGGAUGAAACGAAAAGUUCCCUAGCAAGGAGAAUGAAAGGAAAGUGGGUUUUGAGCCCUAUCUAGCAGCCUGAUUUGUUUACGAUGUAAUUACGUUAAAGAUGAAAUCACACUGGAUUAGGAUGGGCUCUACAUCCAAUGACCGGUAUUCUUAUAAGAAGGCCACGUAAAGAUGCAGAGACACACAGGAAAGAAGGCCAUGUGAUGAAAGACAGAGAGAUUAGAGGGAUGCAAUCACAAGCCAAGGACUGCCAAGGACCGCCAGCAGCCACUGGAAGCAAGGGAGAGGCAUGGGACAGAUUCUUCCGUCAGACGCGCCAGAAGGAAACAACCCCGCCCAUACUCGGAUUCUGACCGUCUGGCCUCCUGAACCGUAAAAGCAUAAAUUUCUGUUGUUUUUAAUCACUCAGUUUGUGAUAAUUUGUUACUGCAGCCCUAGGAAACCAUCACAGGAAGCAAAAAAAUCUAGGCUGAAAAGAUUCUGAGUAGAAAGAGGAAAAGAGAGUUGGGGUUUCACAAGUUAGCCCAGACCGCAGUGAGCCCUGGGAGGGCCGCAGGCGGGGUGUGGCAGAACAGAGCUCUCUCCGUGGGGCAAGAAGACUGGAUCCUGAAACCCUAGGUUCUCAACUUCUGCAAAGGUCCCUUCAUGAGAGGGAGCAGGACCACAGCCACUCUGAAGGAGCUUUGCAGGUUCAGGGGACAGCCAGCGUCAGCUCUGGCCACCGGAGCACAGAGGGCUGUUCCCAAAUGCUGCUUCAGGAAAACCCCUAGGACCUCCAUACCAUCAAAAGAUGAUCACGUCAGAUUAGAAUGGAAUUUCCCACCAGCCCCAAGGAAAUGGGCGCAGAAUCAGAUUUAAGAUCCAAAAUGUGGCAUUUCUUAAACACUUGCAUUUAUAGAACAAUAUGCAUAUUCCCUGGGAGGGUUUUCAAGGAGACAACGUUCAAAUAAUCUUUACCGGUGAACCCUUUGGGGGUGUCUUUCUCAUCCACCAACCAGAGAAACCCCCAAGGGAUUUUAAGAGAGACAGACAGACAGUUACAAUACUCAGUCACUUACCUUUCUUGGAAGCUAAGCCAGUUUCCUUUACACUAUUCACAUAGAGCCUUCGAACGCCAUCUUCUUCCACAGAGGAAAGGGAAAAGCCUAGAAAACACAAAGACAGAAUGGUAGGGCUCACACCUUCUGAAUGUUUGCCAAACAACACGAAAUACCUGCUGUGAACUAAGUAUGUUCAAUGCUUGUGGUUACAGUUUGGAGCGAUUGUUUUUUUCCUUGUUCGUAUUAUUUUACAAAGCACAAAAAAAAUGUAUUUUUAGAUCACUCUAAAAAAGCCACUACUUGCAAAAAUUAACAUUACCAGGUACAUCUCUCCUCACACCACCUACCUAUCAACCCAAAUGGAAGAAAAUUAUUUUGUUUUACCUUGCUUGCUAGCAAAUGCCACAGUUUUAUUUUUUCCAUUGUCCCCUCCACAGUGCAAACGGGAUGAUUAGCAUAUCUCAACUGGGUCCUUCGGCUUUAUGCAGGCAAUCCUUGUCCUAAGAUAUGUUACACCUGAACAACUAUAUGGUAUGUGUCCAGACAUAUGUAUUGCUAUAUGGACACCGAGUUUAAUUUAAUAAAUCUCUGCAUAUGGGGAUUACGUAGUGACUUACUUUACAAAUCUUAUUUUAUACUCAAAUUCAUUGAUUGCACAUUCUACUAGAGUGUGAUCAUAAGAUUAUCUUAUACUUGUCCAGCCUUCCAGAGCCCAAAGCCCAUUACCUAAUCAAUCUUGGGCUUGCUACAUCCUUCGGGAAAAAAUGCAGAACCAGACCCUGAGUUUCCAGGUGGUUUGGGGAUCUGAGGGGCUUCUAAUUCCGUGGCCACAAGCCCUGGGCACCUCAGUUUCUAGACAGUCUCAUUACAAUUCUUUUCUGAUCAGGGUGACUGGCUGGCUCAGUCAGUGGAGCAUCCAACUCUUGAUCUCAAGGUCAUGAGUUCCAGCCCCAAGCUGGGUACAGAGAUUUUUAUUAUCUUUUUAAUGUAAAUUUAUUUAUUUUGAGAGAGGGUGAGACAGUGCAACAGGGGAGGGGAGAGAGAAAGAGAAAGAGAGAGAAAGAGAGAGACAGAGAGAGAGAAUCCCAAGAAGGCUCGGUGGAGAGCCCGACACGGGGCUCGAUCUCACGAACUGUGAGAUCAUGACCUGAGCUGAACUCAAGAGUCGGGAGGCUUAACAAACUGAGCCACCAGACACCCCGAGAUUACUUAAAAGUCUUUUCUGAUCUGUUAUCUCCUUUCCCUCAAGUAAGAGACUGUGGCAAACACCCCUAAAAGAGCAAUCAGAAUUAAUGCAGUUGUGAAGAUAUGACAUAAUUUCAGGUCUGGGAGAAGAAUAAUCCCCUAAUAUAGGUACUUACCUUAAGGGUGAAGGCAGAAAAAAAAUCACAGUGCUUUUGAAGAGCAAAUAAGCAAAUAACAACAAGACUGAAUAAUAAAUUACAGGACUGAGACCCAGGGAGUCAUCAAGACUUUUCAGGCCAUGUCAUAAAGAACAUGGGUUUUUCUGUUGAGUUCACAGGAUCAGGAAAUAGAUACCCACACUUAGGCAAAACUACCAACUGUCUUCGCCCACUACAGUAUCAUAACUCCCUCAGAUGGGGAAACACAGGCCAUACCCUGAGGACUUUCUGGUCUUUAUUUGACUCGUACUUUGAAUUCCAUUCUUACAGCAACUUGUAACGUUCAGAUUAUGUUUCAAGAAGACCCACUCAAAUCGGGGCCCCUGGGUGGCUCAGUUGGUUAAGCGUCUGACUCUUGAUUUCGGCUCAGGUCAUGAUUCGUGAAUUCGAUCCCCACAUUCGGAUCUAUACGGACAGUGAGGAGCCUGCUUGGGACUCUCUCUCUCUCCCCCCCUCUCUCUCUGUCCCUACCCUGCUCGUGCCCUCUCUGUCUCUCAAAAUAAACUUUAAAGUAAAAAAAAAAAAAAAAGAA